GUGAGAAACAGUCUUUACAUAAGAACAAUGUAAAGAAGACUCACUAAAGUACAUUGUGGGCCAGGAGCUGGCUCCAGAAAGAGAUGUUCAAAGAUAAAGCUGAGUUUCUUCAGUACGUAUUGUGUUCUCUGGCAUUGGCAGCAUCUAAUCUUGACGUGGAAGACACUUGGGUGUUUUACAGCUGUUGCAGAGUAAGAAGUGUCAACUUCAUUGGACAUGAAGGAGAAAUCUCAAACAGAGCGGGAAGCAAUUAUGUAUUCAAGGUCAGGCAGAGCAAGAAACAUGCAUCAGAGCCCCCACCUGAGGCAGAUUCACUCUUCUUUGCUGUUGAAUAGCCAGAAUUCAUCUUUGAAAAAUUUACUGUGAAAAUAAAAACAACUGUCAAAUGAAGAAAAU
rnacentral:lncRNA from 1 species